CUGGCGUGGUGUGAGGAAGGCCCAGUAGGGGUGGCUGUAGGGCGGCACGGUCACCGGGGCCAUCUCCUCCUCUUCCUCCUCCUCGUCCACAUCCCCCAAGGGUAGCGGGAUAUCCAGGGAGGGGGGCAGGGGCACGUCCAGUUUCUCCUUUCCGAAUAGCUUCACUUGCGGCCGCGGAAAGAGGCGGAACUUGCGGAUGAGAGAUAGCUUGGACCUGGCAGGUCCUGGAAGCCUUCCAGUCCAUACAACGACUUUCGAGAGCCCGCGUGCCGAAAGGGUGCCUCGUCCUCAAAAGACUCAAGAGAGCUUGCGAGAGACCAGCCAUUCAGAGAGGCCAUGUCUAGGGCUGGGGGUGCCUGCUACAGGAAGAUGGUUUCCAGAGCCAGGUGUGUCACACAGAGGGAUCUCAUGGGAUUCUCUCAACAGGCCUCUGAGGUAGAAACUGGUCCUAUCUCCAUUUUCCAGGUCCCAGCCUCUGCUGUGGUACUGAGGAGUAUCAGGAGCAAGUCCCUCGAUCAUUCAUUCCUCAAAUAUUGGCUGUGUACCUACUAGGUAGCGAACACUGCCCUGAAUGCUAAGAGGUCAGACUUCAGUGGAGCAAGACACGGUCUCUGUCAGAGUUCCCAAGGUCACAGACCUUAAGCUAAGAGUCACAUCAUCCAGAAGAGCUGUGAAAGUCAAAGCAUGACCCCAGGUACUCAACACCACAAUGGAGGCCCAGGAAAGCUCCUCUAAGAAGUAGCAGGAAUCAAACUCAGGAUCUUAUGCUUGCCAGGAAGGCAUGGCACCGCUGAGCUACAUCCCUGGCCCCGAUACACAGUUCUUGAGGAGGGCAGAUGAGCUUGGAGUUUCUUGCCAAAAGAGGGUUCCAAAAUAAUGAACUGUAUAAUCUAAGCUGGAGGAGGGACAUGGAGAAUGAAUAUACAGAUAUUGUACAGACACACAGAUGCUUUUUCCCUUGGCUUCUUUACAUGAGCUUUCUAAAGCUGCAGGCCAGGUUGUCCUCUGGGGUACCAGCCUGGGGCUGAGUACAGCCCUGCUGUGUGGGGAUGGGCUGAGUGAAGCUGCAGGACCCUCCUGUAAUGGCCAGGGGAGGGUGAGUGAUGGGACCAAGGUGGCCAACAGGAACAGGGCCCAGCCCUGGAGUUCACCUUGGUAGCAUGGGUUAGGGACCACAGAGGUUGCUUAGAGGGCUUCCCAGCCAAAGGCCACUAAGCUGGCUUGUCACUUUGACUUGGGCAUGUACAGCUGAAAAGUCCCUCUCACACAGUUCACCCUUGCUGAUCACAGAUCCAAAAAGUCCAGGGCACAAUACAUGGAGAUGUCUCUGAUCCCCAACACAAAGACUGAGCCCAGCAAACAAGUUCAC
ensembl:lncRNA